rnacentral:rRNA from 1 species
AUGGUGCUUGCACUAUCACUUAGCGGCGGACGGGUGAGUAAUGCUUAGGAAUCUGCCAUUUAGUGGGGGACAACAUUCCGAAAGGAAUGCUAAUACCGCAUACGUCCUACGGGAGAAAGCAGGGGAUCUUCGGACCUUGCGCUAAAUGAUGAGCCUAAGUCGGAUUAGCUAGUUGGUGGGGUAAAGGCCUACCAAGGCGACGAUCUGUAGCGGGUCUGAGAGGAUGAUCCGCCACACUGGGACUGAGACACGGCCCAGACUCCUACGGGAGGCAGCAGUGGGGAAUAUUGGACAAUGGGCGGAAGCCUGAUCCAGCCAUGCCGCGUGUGUGAAGAAGGCCUUUUGGUUGUAAAGCACUUUAAGCGAGGAGGAGGCUCUCCUAGUUAAUACCUAGGAAGAGUGGACGUUACUCGCAGAAUAAGCACCGGCUAACUCUGUGCCAGCAGCCGCGGUAAUACAGAGGGUGCGAGCGUUAAUCGGAUUUACUGGGCGUAAAGCGUGCGUAGGCGGCUGAUUAAGUCGGAUGUGAAAUCCCUGAGCUUAACUUAGGAAUUGCAUUCGAUACUGGUCAGCUAGAGUAUGGGAGAGGAUGGUAGAAUUCCAGGUGUAGCGGUGAAAUGCGUAGAGAUCUGGAGGAAUACCGAUGGCGAAGGCAGCCAUCUGGCCUAAUACUGACGCUGAGGUACGAAAGCAUGGGGAGCAAACAGGAUUAGAUACCCUGGUAGUCCAUGCCGUAAACGAUGUCUACUAGCCGUUGGGGGCCUUUGAGGCUUUAGUGGCGCAGCUAACGCGAUAAGUAGACCGCCUGGGGAGUACGGUCGCAAGACUAAAACUCAAAUGAAUUGACGGGGGCCCGCACAAGCGGUGGAGCAUGUGGUUUAAUUCGAUGCAACGCGAAGAACCUUACCUGGGCCUUGACAUACUAGAAACUUUCCAGAGAUGGAUUGGUGCCUUUCGGGAAUCUAGAUACAGGUGCUGCAUGGGCUGUCGUCAGCUCGUGUCGUGAGAUGUUGGGUAGUCCCGCAACGAGCGCAACCCUUUUCCUUAUUUGCCAGCGAGUAAUGUCGGGAACUUUAAGGAUACUGCCAGUGACAAACUGGAGGAAGGCGGGGACGACGUCAAGUCAUCAUGGCCCUUACGGCCAGGGCUACACACGUGCUACAAUGGUCGGUACAAAGGGUUGCUACCUAGCGAUAGGAUGCUAAUCUCAAAAAGCCGAUCGUAGUCCGGAUUGGAGUCUGCAACUCGACUCCAUGAAGUCGGAAUCGCUAGUAAUCGCGGAUCAGAAUGCCGCGGUGAAUACGUUCCCGGGCCUUGUACACACCGCCCGUCACACCAUGGGAGUUUGUUGCACCAGAAGU